GUAAAUCCAUUCCUCCUCAUUUUGAAAUCUCUUUAUGAAAAUUCAGUUGAGACGUGUAAAUACGAAUGAGAAAAUGACUGCAAAACGAAACUUUCAAUACGUAAAAUGUGUUUCAAUAGGCGUUGCUUUAUAUUUACCCUCCCAACUUUUGUAGAAUGCUUCAGUUUCCGGACAAAACUCAAGCUGAGAGUAGGCUCUAGGAGAACAGAAUUCUCCAGAAAUAAAAAAAGCUUAAAUUCUUCGGAUCACCAUGUGCUGCGGAAGUCGCUACUACCGGGAGACACCCUGUGUCCAGUGCUGCCUAGUCGACUGCAGCUAUAGCUGCUACCGCACCAGCUGCGCCGGACCCUGCGGCCCGUGUGCUACCGCGGCACCGUGCUGCUGCGGAGCUGUCGGCGAUUUGAACUACAAAUAUUCGUUCUUCGGACUGCAUUUGCUGUGAUGAAUAAUGAUAAAUGAUGAUGAAUGAUAAUGAAUGGUCUAAUGUCUGCAGCGAUAAAGGAAUAAUCUAGCAGCACCUGGUGCAUUGUCCUUAACACCUGAAUGAAGGUCAAUAGAGCCUACAGACCAGACCAAAUUAAAUUUAUUUGUUAAUUAAAUAAAUUUGUUAAUUUAAA